rnacentral:rRNA from 2 species
GGGAGCCUGUGAAAUUUCAUACUUUAUAUUUAAAGUGUCUUGGCCAAAUCUUGUGCCAGCAGUCGCGGUAAGACAAGGAAGACUAGCGUUUUUCAUCUUUAUUAGGUUUAAAGNGUACCUAGACAGUUUAUCUAUCCUUAAUUAGAAAACAGAUUAAACUAGAGUUUAAUAUAAGAGGUAAAUUUAGUAUUGAAAGAGAAGAGAUGAAAUUUUUUUAUACUUUCGAGACUGAUAAUGGUGAAAACAAUCCUCUAUGUAAUAACUGACGUUGAGGGACGAAGGCAUGGUUAUCGAAUAGGAUUAGAUACCCUAAUAGUCCAUGCAGAAAAUGAUGAAUGUCAUAAAAAUUAUAAUUUAGUUUUUAUAAAUGAAAGUGUAAGCAUUCCACCUCAAGAGUACUACGGCAACGUAUAAACUGAAAUCAUUAGACCGUUUCUGAAACCAGUAGUGGAGUAUGUUAUUUAAUUCGAUAAUCCUCGAAAAACCUUACCUCAAUUUGAAUUAAUAAUAACUCAUUAUUAUUAACAAGCGUUGCACGGCUGUCUUCAGUUAAUGUCGUGAGAUCUGGUUAACCCCUAGAAUUAACACAAGCCCUAUAUUCAUUUAUUUAAAUGAAUAUUUAUCAUCAUAAUGAUGUAGUUA